AGUUACAAUGAGACAGCUGGGGC
rnacentral:piRNA from 1 species